rnacentral:rRNA from 1 species
UUCACCCUUUCUCAAGACCAACCAUGGCGGGCUGCCUAAUACAUGCCAGUAGAAAGCAGAAUACUUUAGCUUGCUUAACUUAGAAUAGAUGCAAACGGGUGAGUAACGCGUAGGUAACCUGCCUACUAGCGGGGGAUAGCUAUUGGAAUCGAUAGCUCAUUCCGCAUAACAGCAUUUAACCCAUGUUAGAUGCUUGAAAGGAGCAAUUCCUUCACUAGUAGAUGGACCUGCGUUGUAUUAGCUAGUUGGUGAGGUAACGGCUCACCAAGGCGACGAUACAUAGCCGACUUGAGAGGGUGAUCGACCACCCUGGGACUGAGACCCGGCCCAGACUCCUACGGGAGGCAGCAGUAGGGAAUCUUCGCCAAUGGGGGCCACCCUGACCGAGCACCGCCGCGUGAGUGAAGAAGGUUUUCGGAUCGUAAAGCUCUGCUGUAAGAGAAGAACGUGUGUGAGAGUGGAAAGUUCACACAGUGACGGUAACUUCCCAGAAAGGGCCGGCUAACUACGUGCCAGCAGCCGCGGUAAUACGUAGGUCCCGAGCGUUGUCCGGAUUUAUUGGGCGUAAAGCGAGCGCAGGCGGUUUAAUAAGUCUGAAGUUAAAGCCAGUGGCUUAACCAUUGUUCGCUUUGGAAACUGUUAGACUUGAGUGCAGAAGGGGAGAGUGGAAUUCCAUGUGUAGCGGUGAAAUGCGUAGAUAUAUGGAGGAACACCGGUGGCGAAAGCGGCUCUCUGGUCUGUAACUGACGCUGAGGCUCGAAAGCGUGGGGAGCAAACAGGAUUAGAUACCCUGGUAGUCCACGCCGUAAACGA